rnacentral:rRNA from 1 species
GACGAACGCUGGCGGCGUGCUUAACACAUGCAAGUCACGGGGGCCCGCAAGGGCAACCGGCGAACGGGUGCGUAACACGUGAGCAACCUACCGAUUUGCGGGGGAUAGCUGGCCUAACGGCCAGGUAAUACCGCAUACGCUUGUCUCGUCACCUGACGGGAUCUGGAAACCUCCGGGCAAAUCGAGGGGCUCGCGGCCUAUCAGCUAGUUGGCGAGGUAACGGCUCACCAAGGCGACGACGGGUAGCUGGUCUGAGAGGAUGGCCAGCCACAUUGGGACUGAGAAACGGCCCCAGACUCCUACGGGGAGGCAGCAGUGGGGAAUCUUGCGCAAUGGGCGAAAGCCUGACGCAGCGACGCCGCGUGGGGGAUGACGGGUUUCGGCUUGUAAACCCCUGUUGCCCGGGACGAACUUCUCCAUUCGCGGAGAUUGACGGUACCGGGUGAGGAAGCACCGGCUAACUCUGUGCCAGCAGCCGCGGUAAUACAGAGGGUGCGAGCGUUGUCCGGAAUCACUGGGCGUAAAGGGCGCGUAGGUGGCGGCCCAAGUCCGUGGUGAAAGCUCGAUGCUCAACAUCGAGUCGGCCACGGAGACUGGGUGGCUCGAGCACUGUAGGGGCAGAUGGAAUUCCGGGUGUAGCGGUGGAAUGCGUAGAGAUCCGGAAGAACACCGGUGGCGAAGGCGGUCUGCUGGGCAGUAGCUGACACUGAGGCGCGACAGCGU